rnacentral:rRNA from 1 species
GAUGAACGCUGGCGGCGUGCCUAAUACAUGCAAGUCGAGCGGACAGACGAUGCGCUUGCUGCGCUGACGUUAGCCGCAGGGGUGAGAGUCACACGUGUAUAACGUACCUGUCAGUCUGGGAUAACUUCGGGAAAGCGGAGCUAAUACCGGAUAAUCUCUUGCAGCGCGUUGUUCAUUAGUAAAAGACGGUUUUGCUGUCAGUACUCGCUGCAUCCGCGCCGCAUUAGCUAGUUGGUAAGGUAACGGGUUACCAAGGGAACGAUGCGUAGCCGACCUGAGGGGGGGAUAGGCCACAUGGGAACGGAGACAGCGUCCAUACUACUACGGGAGGCAGCAGUAGGGUAUCGUCCGCAGUGGGGGGAAGCAUGACGGAGCAACGGCGAGUGAGUUACGACGGUCUUCGGAUCGUAAAAAUCGGUUACGAGGGAAGAACCAAUGUGUAAGUAACUAUGCACGUCGUGACGGUAACUAAUAAGAAAGCAACGGCUAACUACGUG